rnacentral:rRNA from 1 species
AACGAACGCUGGCGGCAGGCUUAACACAUGCAAGUCGAGCGCCCCGCAAGGGGAGCGGCAGACGUGUGAGUAACGCGUGGGAAUCUACCCAUCUCUACGGAAUAACGCAUGGAAACGUGUGCUAAUACCGUAUACGUCCUUCGGGAGAAAAAUUUAUCGGAGAUGGAUGAGCCCGCGUUGGAUUAGCUAGUUGGUGGGGUAAAGGCCUACCAAGGCGACGAUCCAUAGCUGGUCUGAGAGGAUGAUCAGCCACACUGGGACUGAGACACGGCCCAGACUCCUACGGGAGGCAGCAGUGGGGAAUAUUGGACAAUGGGCGCAAGCCUGAUCCAGCCAUGCCGCGUGAGUGAUGAAGGCCCUAGGGUUGUAAAGCUCUUUCACCGGUGAAGAUAAUGACGGUAACCGGAGAAGAAGCCCCGGCUAACUUCGUGCCAGCAGCCGCAGUAACAC